CUGAGCGGAGAUAUAUGGAGCUUGCUUUAUAUAACUUAGCAGCGAACGGGUGAGUAACACGUAGAUAAUCUAUCCUAUACUGGGGGAUAGCCCGAUGAAAGUUGGAUUAAUACCGCAUAUAGCUAUAUAGUUGCAUGAUUAUGUAGUGAAAGAUUUAUUGGUAUAGGAGGAAUCUGCGGCACAUUAGCUAGUAGGUGAGGUAAAGGCUUACCUAGGCGACGAUGUGUAGCCGGUCUGAGAGGAUGAACGGCCACAAUGGAACUGAGACACGGUCCAUACUCCUACGGGAGGCAGCAGUGGGGAAUAUUGCACAAUGGGGGAAACCCUGAUGCAGCAACGCCGCGUGAGUGAAGAAGGUUUUCGGAUUGUAAAGCUCUGUUAGCAGGGAAGAGGAAGGACGGUACCUGCAGAGGAAGCCACGGCUAACUACGUGCCAGCAGUCGCGGUAAUACGUAGGUGGCAAGCGUUGUUCGGAAUAACUGGGCGUAAAGGAUGCGUAGGCGGUUAAACAAGUUAUAUGUUAAAUAUAUAGGCUUAACCUGUAGAAAGCAUAUAAAACUGUUUAACUAGAGUGCAGGAGAGGUAAGUGGAAUUCCUAGUGUAGCGGUGAAAUGCGUAGAGAUUAGGAAAGAACACCAGUGGCGAGGGCGACUUACUGGACUGUAACUGACGCUGAGGCAUGAGAACAUGGGGAGCAAACA
rnacentral:rRNA from 1 species